rnacentral:tRNA from 1 species
GGGGGUGGAUGUGUCCCGGUGGGCGCCCCGGUCUUCAAAACCGGUGGCGGGCGCUGCGUAGGCGUCCGCGGUGGGUUCGACUCCCAUCCAUCCCCG